rnacentral:rRNA from 1 species
GUAGGUGGCAAGCGUUGUCCGGAAUUAUUGGGCGUAAAGCGCGCGCAGGCGGUUCUUUAAGUCUGAUGUGAAAGCCCACGGCUCAACCGUGGAGGGUCAUUGGAAACUGGAGAACUUGAGUACAGAAGAGGAAAGCGGAAUUCCACGUGUAGCGGUGAAAUGCGUAGAGAUGUGGAGGAACACCAGUGGCGAAGGCGGCUUUCUGGUCUGUAACUGACGCUGAGGCGCGAAAGCGUGGGGAGCAAACAGGGAUAGAUACCCUGGUAGUCCACGCCGUAAACGAUGAGUGCUAAGUGUUAGGGGGUUUCCGCCCCCUUAGUGCUGCAGCUAACGCAUUAAGCACUCCGCCUGGGGAUACGGCCGCAAGGCUG